GUAUUGCUUCUGCCAUCUUUCUCAUGGUACUUGUUUGUCGCAGGAAGAAGUGGUGGAGGGAGGGUGUUUUUAUUAUUGGAGAUGAGAGCCAGGUGCUGCCCUAAUGCAGACCCAUGAUCACCUCUCCAGGUUGACUGCUGAAUAGCAGAAGAUGAACCUGAAAUUGAAUGGUUAUUGCAACCCAGUUUUUUCGGUCGAAAGGUGAAGGUUACUUAGCUUUUGUUGCUGCCUUCAAGCUUGUUAAUGAAAAGAUGUAAAAACAAUAUUGACAACAGUGAAGUCCAAUUUGUUCAGAAAUGGAACUUGAUUUAUUAUAGAAAUGAGACAGAAGACAAAUGAAAAAGUAAGAUAUGAAAUAAGACCAAUACUGAAGGGGCCCUUGGAGAUCAUUCUGCCUGUAUCCAUGAGGAGACCAGAUCUCUGAGCAGUGAGCUCUUAACUGACUGUGGAGAAGCCCUUC
rnacentral:lncRNA from 1 species